UGUCCAAUGCGGGAAUCGAACCCGGGUCCUAGUGGUCGAAAACCAAACGGUUUAACCAGCCUUCCACCGACCGAUAUGGCUACAUCAACCAAUUAUU